GACGAACGCUGGCGGCGUGCUUAACACAUGCAAGUCGAGCGGUAAGGCCCUUUCGGGGGUACGACGAGCGGCGAACGGGUGAGUAACACGUGGGUGACCUGCCCUCAGCUCUGGGAUAAGCCCGGGAAACGUGGGUCUAAUACCGGAUAUGACUCCACGGUGCAUGUCGUGGGGUGGGAAAGCCUUGUGCGGCUGAGGAUGGGCCCGCGGCCUAUCAGCUUGUUGGUGGGGUGAUGGCCACCAAGGCGACGACGGGUAGCCGGCCUGAGAGGGCGACCGGCC
rnacentral:rRNA from 1 species